ACUUGUACCACUCUUUUAAAAAACUUGGGCUCUCCAUAUGAUGUCAGUGGGAAUGGGGUGGAGCUUGGGUACUGAAGAAAAUGCACAGGAAUUAAAAUGUAUGUUUCCCUAGCAUCUUUACCACUGUGCAUCAUUACCACUGCAAUAAGCUAUAGUAUAUAUGGUGCUUUGAAGAAUGUGCAUUUAAUCACACUGGCACAUCUGUUCACCGGUACUGCAAUAUGCAAAGGAAAUGUUAUAAUGUCAAUAGCGGCACCAUAAAUAUAUAACUAUUAGCUGAAUGAAAAAAGCAGGAGGCACUUCAAUGGACACUCGAAGAACCACACUACCUCCCUACCGCUAUAUGUAGUGGUUAUGGUAGAAGAAGCCUUUGAGUUCCGUUUGCCCGAUUUUCUGCCAAGACAUGUAAAAUCUAUUUGACAAAAACAGGACUCUCCCUGCCCCUUCCCGGCUACUUCCAUAAUACAGAGGGGUCACUUUAUUUAUGUAUAUCUUGAUAUAUUUUGUAAUAUAUGCACACUUGACCACAUAUUGCAAUAAGGAAUUAUAGUUACUUGAUCCCAGAAAGUUAAUAAAAUCCUAGCUAUGGAGGUAACAUGCACAAAAUACACUGGCAAGCAUGGUAAAUCGAGCAAAGCACACUUUUUUCCAGGUAAAAUCAUUCCGUAUAGCAACUAAGGGUCAUAAUUCUAAUGGCAGACAUACCUGAAUAUAAACUGAAUUUCCAUUAAGAUUACAAGUAUAUUUAAAAGUUGCAAGAUUUGACCGUUAAGCAUUUUAGGACAGCAUGGUGCUCAGCAUUUUAGAGAAAACAUUCAACAGCCUUUAUUUUAUGUCUUCUCCAGAGUAACUGGCUGUAAAACAGUGAAGAGUUUUCUAAAUCGUUAGGGGAGUAAUAGGUAAAGAAGUAACACAAACUAGUGCAUUAUAUAAAGGUACAAUGCUAGCACUUGAAGAUUGGCACGUCUCCACUCUAACAAGUACAGAAGGGCAAUCCUGAUUUUGGGCCCUUAUCCUGCCAUCCCAAGUUGGUACUCCCGUGCCUCAUUUUUGUUGACGCUCAUUACAGCUCACCAGUAAGCAUAGUGUAAGUGCACCAUUAAAGACAUUUCAUGCAGCACUAAACUAAAUCAGAGUGUUUAACCCAUAUGAGAGCUAGUUAUCAAUGUAAUGAACAUGGACAGCACGUGGGGGACUGCCUAGCCAGGGUCACGGUGACCCACUCUUUGUUCCAUUCUGCCUUGUACUUUCUUGAUAACAUUCCUAUUGUUGGCAAGUAAUCAAAGAGGGUGAAGGAGCGUGCAUGAAUUCCAGAGGCCAAGUAAUUCGUUUCAUUGCCCUCUUCUAUGUUGACAUCUGAGGAGAGGAGGGUAUGAAAUGAAGACUGCAAUUCCCUGGGGUCUGUAAUGUCUUUCCAGGGACCCA